rnacentral:rRNA from 1 species
GACGAACGCUGGCGGCGUGCUUAACACAUGCAAGUCGAACGGUGAAGCCCUUCGGGGUGGAUCAGUGGCGAACGGGUGAGUAACACGUGAGCAACCUGCCCCUGGCUCUGGGACAACCACUGGAAACGGUGGCUAAUACCGGAUACGACCCGCCUCGGCAUCGAGUGUGGGUGGAAAGUUUUUCGGCUGGGGAUGGGCUCGCGGCCUAUCAGCUUGUCGGUGAGGUGAAGGCUCACCAAGGCGACGACGGGUAGCCGGCCUGAGAGGGCGACCGGCCACACUGGGACUGAGACACGGCCCAGACUCCUACGGGAGGCAGCAGUGGGGAAUAUUGCACAAUGGGCGAAAGCCUGAUGCAGCGACGCCGCGUGAGGGAUGACGGCCUUCGGGUUGUAAACCUCUUUCAGCUCCGAAGAAGCGAAAGUGACGGUAGGAGCAGAAGAAGCACCGGCUAACUACGUG